AAGAAAUUAGUUAAAGAAUAAUAUUAGAUUGUCAAGCUAAAGUUACUAGUUAUAGUAUUUCUUG
rnacentral:tRNA from 2 species